GCCCGUGUUUACGUCCCUCGUGGAGCAACCUACGUCAGCAGCCAAAUGGCAACAUUGUGGCGAUACUGAGGGUUACAGUUUAGGAGACGCGUCUAUCCGUCAGGCCGGCUCCGGGCGGUCGGGAAGAGGAGGAGAAGGAGGAGGGGCGGGGAGAUCGGCCUGGACGAGCGGCGGAGACGCACAUAUCGCCGGCCCCUACCGCCUACCGGCCUGCCCGGCCCCGCAGGACCCGCUCCUCACCUUCCGAGAGCCGCAGACGCAGCACCGCGGCCUCGCGCUGGGGGCGGCCGGGACGGGCGCGAGGCGCUGCCGCAGCACUGGGCUUGUAAACAGAUCCAGCCGCACGUGACCAUGUGAACUACCUGCUCCGGGGACGCGUAUUGUCUUUCCCGCGAGCCGCCACAAAGGAACGCGGCGGGUUCAAGUGAGGAGGGCCGGGCGAGUAAGCGGGGAGAGCCGGCUGGCGCGCUAAGAUGGCCGAAGGCGCUCAGCGAGGGUGAGCGGGGGGCGCGGUGCAGCCAGCCGGUGAGUCUUCGAGCGGGCAGGGCCAGCGGCGCCUCCCCCGCGGCCUGGCACCGGAGCCACCAUGUCGUUCGCGCUGGAGGAGACGCUCGAGUCGGACUGGGUGGCCGUGCGGCCCCAUGUGUUCGACGAGCGCGAGAAGCACAAGUUCGUCUUCAUUGUGGCCUGGAACGAGAUUGAGGGCAAGUUUGCCAUAACCUGCCACAACCGGACCGCCCAGAGGCAGAGGAGCGGCUCCCGGGAGCAGGCGGGGGCACCCGCGUCCGACGGGACCCGCGGGCCAGGCAGCCCAGCGGGCAAGGGCCGGCCCGAGGCCACUGUCUCUGCGACUCUGGGUAGGAGCCCGGGGCCCCGGAGGAGCCCGGCCUGGGGGGAGGGCGGCUCUCCGCGGAGCGCGCGCAGCCUUCGGGGGGACCCGCUGCUGCGGUGUCCCGCCGGCAAAGGGGCGGAGAGCCCCCUCAGGAGCCCAGUGCGGGCCAAGACCAGCCCGGUCCGAAGGAGAUCUGAAGGCAAAGAUGUGGCGGGGGCCGCUACAGCAGCACCCCCGCCGGCGUCCAGGGAGGCCCCGGUGUCCUCCGUGCGAGUAGUGAGCACUUGUGGGGUGGUUUCCGAGGAGAUAGAGGUGCUGGAAAUGUUGAGGGAAGACGAGGUGGCCCCGGCGGCCCUGGCGCUCUCAGACGCAGAGCAGCCGCCUUCCACUAUCGAGCUGGAGUCCCCGGCCGAGGAGUGUAGCUGGGCCGGGCUCUUCUCCUUCCAGGAUCUGCGUGCUGUGCACCAGCAGCUGUGUUCUGUGAACUCGCAGCUGGAACAGUGCCUGCCCGUAUUCCCCGAGGAGCCCUCUGGCAUGUGGACCGUGCUGUUCGGGGGCGCUCCAGAGAUGACCGAGCAGGAGAUCGACACUCUGUGUUAUCAGCUCCAAGUCUACCUGGGCCAUGGCCUGGACACCUGCGGCUGGAAGAUCCUCUCCCAGGUACUUUUCACUGAGACCGACGAUCCCGAGGAGUAUUACGAAAGUCUUAGCGAGCUGCGGCAGAAGGGCUACGAAGAAGUGCUUCAGCGGGCCAGGAAGCGCAUCCAGGAGCUUUUGGAUAAGCACAAGAAUACAGAAAGCAUGGUUGAGCUUCUGGACUUGUAUCAGAUGGAGGAUGAAGCCUAUAGCAGCCUUGCAGAAGCCACAACUGAACUGUAUCAGUAUUUACUACAGCCAUUCCGAGACAUGAGAGAACUUGCCAUGCUACGGAGACAACAGAUCAAGAUUUCCAUGGAGAAUGAUUAUCUGGGUCCCCGAAGAAUUGAAAGUCUACAAAAAGAAGAUGCUGAUUGGCAGCGAAAAGCUCACAUGGCUGUGCUGUCUAUUCAGGAUCUUACUGUCAAAUACUUUGAAAUAACAGCGAAAGCACAGAAAGCUGUGUACGAUCGAAUGAGAGCAGAUCAGAAGAAAUUUGGUAAAGCAUCAUGGGCAGCAGCUGCAGAACGUAUGGAAAAACUCCAGUAUGCAGUUUCUAAGGAGACUCUGCAGAUGAUGAGAGCAAAAGAGAUCUGUUUGGAACAGAGGAAACAUGCACUGAAAGAAGAGAUGCAGAGUUUGCAGGGUGGUACAGAAGCCAUAGCCCGAUUGGAUCAGUUAGAAGCUGAUUAUUAUGAUCUGCAACUUCAGUUGUAUGAAGUACAGUUUGAAAUCCUGAAGUGUGAAGAGUUAUUAUUGACAGCCCAACUGGAAAGCAUCAAAAGACUUAUAUCGGAAAAGAGAGAUGAAGUGGUAUACUAUGACACUUACGAAAGCAUGGAGGCCAUGCUGGAGAAGGAAGAAAUGGCAGCAUCUGUGCACUUACAGAGAGAAGAGCUACAGAAACUUCAGCAGAAAGCACGCCAGCUAGAAGCAAGACGUGGACGGGUUUCAGCCAAGAAAGCCUACCUCAGAAAUAAAAAGGAAAUUUGUAUUGCAAAACACAAUGAAAAGUUCCAACAGCGCCUUCGGAGUGAAGAUGAAUAUAGAACCCAUCACACAGUACAACUAAAGAGAGAAAAAUUGCAUGACGAAGAAGAAAGAAAAAGUGCUUGGGUUAGCCAGGAGAGACAAAGAACACUGGAUAGACUUCGAACUUUUAAACAGAGGUACCCUGGCCAAGUCAUACUUAAAUCAACCAGAUUGCGCCUGGCUCAUUCAAGAAGAAGAAGCACAGCCAGUCCCGUGCCCUGUGAGGACCAGUGUGACUCUCUGCCAGGAGCGCCCCAGGUAGAAGAGAAAAAUGAAAUGGUGGAGGAAGGAAGAGGGAAGCUCACAUCAUUGCAGAAAACAGAAGCCCAGAGCCUCGCACAGCUUGAAGAUAGUUCAUUAGCACAACUUGAAGCCCCUUCAUUACCUCUCAGUGGUGUUACCUCUGAACUGCCGCCCGCGGUUUCUCUUCCACUUUUGAAUAAUACUGACCUCGAACCGGGUUCUGUUACCAUAGCGCCACUCCCCCCACCUCUUCCUCCAACACCCCCUCCGCCCCCACCCCCUCCUCCCCCUCCCCCACCGCCGCCCCCUCUGCCUCUUGCCAAGGACCACUCCUUGGAGACCCUGGAGAAAGGUCAGCUUGGUAGAGAGGGGAGCGAGAUGAGGACCGCGGAGCCUGCUAGCGCACCACCCGCACAGCUGUUUGACAGCAGCCAGCUGGUCAGUGCCCGGAAGCGGCUCAGAAAGACUGCUGAAGCUUUGCAGAGGAGGAGAGGUGACUCAACAGAAAGAAAAAAACACCUACAGUUGAAGAUCAAAGAUUUUUUUGGAAAACAAAAUUUUAAAUGUGUGAUUUCCCAACUGGAUUCCAUUAGAUGCAAAGUGUGUUGGCUCAGUGCUAUGAAAAAAUGGAAGCACAAUUGGCAAGUUAACGCUUUUCCAGUCAUUCCAAUAUUGGUGGUUAACAUGAGUUUUAGAUGUGCAGUGUUCCUGAUGCAAUGAAGAAAAGGCCUUCCAGAGAUGCCUGGUUUUUUAAGCACCUUCCCUUCCUGUCCACCCACGUACAUCUUCGUAGUGGCCAGUCAAGCUAGGGGGUUGCUCUGAGUUUGAAGAACACUGGGUUGACAGAGACCUACUGUGAGCUGUAUCGGGACUGCUUUGAAAUCCAUCUUUAAGUGCACUGAAUAGUCCUCUGCUUGAAAACACAGAGCUUCUUCUGUAUCAGCUCGUAUAAAUAGUCGGGACACUCUGAAAAAGAAGUUUAUCAUGAUAGCUAUAGGACAGGAAUUGGAAAGAAUCAGAUGGAAAUGCACUGAAAAUUUCCACAUUACUCAUCUCCAAAGGAAUUUUCAUAAAGAUGUUCAACAUCUGAAAAGAUAUAUAACCAUGGAGAUACACUUAAUGUGUUUACCACAACAUGAUACAUUUAACAUGGCAUAUUUUUAAAAGACCACAUACUCUCACACUUUGUAAGGUUUUGAAGUAAAAAUUUCCAUGCUUUUAAAUAGCUCUUCAUAAUUGUGAAUUUAUAAUAGUUUGAAUUUCAUGUGCAGCUUUGUUUAUGAAAAGCAAUACUUUGUAACUUGAUAAUAUUUCAGAUUAUUUUUAGUCCUUUUGUUUGAACGAUUGCUUGAUUAGUGUAAUUCAACAUGACUUUCCUAUUGAGAAUCAAAAAUGAGGAUUCAAUAAUAGGGAUGCAGAUCUUAAGUCUGUUUAACAUGCACCAUUUAAGUUUUUCUUUUUAUGCUCCACAGUGAAGUGUGCUCUACAAGUAUGCAGAAAGUAGACAGGCAGAAAAGCCUCCUUGGAUAGCAUUUCACUAUCUUCACAUGUUUUGAGUGGAAUUUGGGGAGAGCGCCUUUAUUACUGUUAGGAGACCUUUUAAAACAUACGUAUGUAGUUCCAGGUGCUGAGUUUGCCAUAAUGGCACCCCGAAGGGCACAUUUAUAUGAAUGGAGCCAUUAUGAAUUCUCAGCAGGAGUGUUGUGGGCUUGAAUGAAGGUAUAUAUGGCAGACUCGGUCUGUAGUAUUCUGUAGAGUGUAAUUCUGCAUCAGAGAGAUGUUGGCCUUUAUAUGAAGGGAGUUAAGUAAGGACUGAUGUACCAAAAAGAACUUUAUUUCUUCCGAGGCAUUUCUCUGGCCUAGACCCAGAAAGCAGUCCCAGAGUAAAAGUCCUCCAAUGCAUAUGAAUUGGUUUUUCAGAAGAGAGAAAACAUGCUUACACCUUUGGUCACUUUAAGAUGUAUUUCCUUUAAAAUGAUUAUGGAGAAAAUUUUCUGUUUAUUGAUGAGAGUAGGAGCUUUUGCACAGUUUUUACACAAUACGUUAGUUUUCUUGUAUUAUUUCUAUAUCUUACCUUGGAAGGUUAAAAUAUAUAUCUAGUAUAGAGACUUAAUCUUUAUCGCACAGUGGGGGAGGUGGGUGUGGAAUUUUCCCCGUUUGCUUCAGUAAAGCAUUGAAGCGUGCUUUUCAACCAAAAUAAUGAUUGGUUUGAUUAAUAUAAUUUGGCAAAAAAGUUUAAGCAAAUUUGCAAACCUUAAAAAAAAUCAUGUAUCAGUUUUAAGCCUUUGGAUGCUUAUGAAUAAGUUUGGUGUUUCAUUCAUUGAUAUUUAGAAAAAUACAGGAGAACUUAACAUUAAAUUAACAGCAAAAGCACUAGAACUUUUAUAUGUCAGGAAUUUGCUCCCUAUUUAGUGUUACAGCUGGGAUUCCAUUAAAAAACAGGCUCACUUAGAAAUGGGUACUGUGAUUUGUCUUCCAGAACCAUGUUCUAGUAAGUCUGUAGUACUCUGGAGGGGGUACAGACCCCUGUGAAUCCUUUUGGGGGUGCAUCCACAACUCUGAGUACAUCCCACUGUGGCACUUCAUGAAGAUUAUCUCACUUGAUGAGUAGGUUAAAGCAAACCCUUGUUUACAACCAGCUGUACUUAUUCUCUGCUAAAUAAACUUUCUCCACCACACCUAUUUUCCAUCCUUAAGAUUCAGAUUCCUACUUGCACAGAAUUACAAGUUACUGCAGAUCAUCCACCUUUGGAGUUCUCACAGUGUUAAAAUUUCAAAUAAGUACAGUCCACUUGUCCAGGAUGAGAUUACUGGUUGAAUCCUCAAGUUAAUUUUUUUCCUUAUGUUUAAGAUUUUAUUUGAGAGAGAAAGAGCAUGGGAUCAGAAGAAGCAGGCUCCCCGCUGAGCAGGGAGCCCAAUGUGGGACUCAAUCCCGGGACUCCAGGAUCAUGACCUGAGCCGCGAAGGCAGUCGCUUAACCAACUGAGCCACCCAGGUGCCCUCCUCAUGUUAAUUUUAAUGCAGUUUGGAACCCAACAAUUCUGUAAGCAUGGUUAUUCCCCCUUCCUCCCCCCCCCCACCGCCCUUAAAAAAAAAAAAGUGUCUUUGCUCUUAUUAAAUUCUAAUAUAUUUAAUUAGGAUGGUAGUUACAGAUGAUCACAUAUUUCAAGUUCCACACUUGCCCAUACUAUUUAUAUGGCUUAAAAUAUUUGAGAGUUACAUCUCAAUGUGUCAUUUCUGUCAUAAGAAUACACAAACAACUCCUUGUUUGUGCUGAAUCACUUUAGAAGUUCAUUUACCAAUCUAGUCUCGACUAAUAAAUUUUAAAUAGGGAAAGAGAUAACUUGAGGAUAUUUUAAGGUUAAGAUUACUGCUCACUUGAAUGCCAUUUUUAAACAGUUCUCCCACUUACAGUCAAAAUGCUGUGUAUAUAACCAAUGUGGUACAUAUAGAAAAGGUAUUCCUAAUCUCAAAUCUGGGUGGUACUAUGGUGGGGCAGUGUGGUGAAAUUCCUGGCUAAAGAGGAUUUUUAAAAGAUGAGCAAUUGUCUUGCUUACUUGAUACAUGUUUUAUAGGUUUUGAGUUUGUGAGCAGCAUAAAAACAAUCAUUCCCUAGUUGUUCAUUGAGGAACUGAAAGAUCUCUUAAUGUGUAUUUUUAAACAAAUUUAGAUUCAGCCGUAAAUGUUGACCAGGUAUAUCGUAUUUUCCACAGUGGGAAAGUGGGGUUUUCCUCAUUACAUGAAACCGUAGGGAAUUUUCUGCACUUUGAUUUACUGUGUAAAAUGAGGGGGCAAAAAUCCUCGUUUCUAAAAGCUGAACUGUGUAGCAAUUUUUGGUAACAUAUGGCAUGGCCACUUUGCCAUAAAAUGUGUUAAAUUCUGAGGCGUACUUAGGCCAUAGCAGGCACUAAGAAUUAAACCUAUCAGUGGAACAAAAAUGAACAGGCAGCAUCCUCUGUUUGGAAUGGGACCAGUGUACAAUUAACACAAUUUAAUUUUACACAUUCCUUAAGAUUCCAUUUUUUAAUUGCAUUCAUUGAGUUUGUGUAUAAAUUUAAGUCAAUGCCUAAGUCAGUUUAGUCUUAGCAUAAGGAAAGUUUUUUUCUUCCACUAAAUACAAAGUUUUGGGGUUUUGGUUGUUUUUUUUUAACCUUUAUAAUUUAUUUUAGUAUGCACAUCGUAUCAGAUACCAACCUGUAAAGUACUAUAGUAAGGGGUCCUUUAAAGGCCUUAUCAGGGAGUUCAGAUUUCAUAUACAUUAUUACCAGGUUAUUUGUAAGAAAUCGUUUUGAACAGCUGUAAAACAUUUAAAAACCGUGGCAGAUGCAUUAACCAUUUGAUAAUGAGAGCAGAAACCUUAACAAGUUUUACCUAAUUCUUGCACUGAAUUUAAAUGAUAAUAUAAAGUUAAAUGUGCAUUUUAAACAGAUUUUAUUUCACAUUUAUAGCUUAGCAUACAAGAAGAGCUAUGCUUAGUGUUAGAGGAUUGACCAGCAAGAUAUAUUCCAGAUGGAAGUGGUAAGAGAGUAGAAGCACCUUACUGUUGGAGCAUAUUGCAUUUAUUUAGUGCUCCUGAACAAUUCAGUAGUUACUUCUGAACUUUGCUGCAAAGUGCUCUUUAUUUUAAGCACAUAAAGAGGGAUCUCUGCCUAAUUGCUUUGUAAGUUGAAGCAAUGGUAUUUUUCAUCCUAUAGUCUAAUUUAAAAGUUUUUCCUACAAAAUGAGUUCAUAUUGCUGCCUAAACUAUCAUGUAUGUAAACAGAGGAGUUUUUUUUUUUAAGGGUGAGAGGGAAUCGGGGUCCUGUGUGUGUGCGCGCGUGUGUGACAUGUUUGCCCAUUGGGUUAUUUGGAAGAUACGGUCACUCUAAAACAUUGUUUUACCCACAAAUAUAAAUGUACAGCUUGGUAUUUGAGGGGUUUGAUUGAAUUCAAAUUCAUAAAUGUUUUUCCCCUUCCCCACUUUUAUUAUGCCACUGUUAAGGUGCAUGUACAGAAGAUACCUCAGAGGUUGACAUAUAAUAAAUAUUUCAUCAAUGCUAUUUCACAUUGAAUCUCAAAGCAGUCAUUUGUUUUGAGAGUUAAGGGAAAGUUUUUUGUUGGUUUUUUUAAAAGUCAGGUAUAACUAAGGGUGGCUCAAUUUGGGGGAGUUAAGGGUGGAGAGGAAAGACCGUGGAAAGUCAUUUUUAGAUGUAUACACAAAGGUAUGGGUGUUGGUUAUAGAGGUGAAUUUUAACAAGGGAAGUUUUGGGUUUUUUUUCUUAAACUUGCAUGUUCUAUGGUUAACUAUCCAAGAGUGUAACAAGUUAUUCUAGCUUUUCCCAGUACUAAUUAUAUUGGUUUUAAGAAGUCUUCAUGGUCACAAGAUGGCAUUUUCCCUUCAAUUGUGAACCAAGAGGGAUAGACAAUACCACCCAGACAGUGACUUCUGACUUCUUUAACUUGGACAGAAUCCCCACUGUCUCGUUGAGUUUCUCGUACUGUAUGUCUUGCCAAGUGUGAAACCAUAAUAUAUAGUUUGUGAAAAAUGGAAGGCUACAGAUCAUUUUGCAUGAUUAAAGCCCAUUAGGGCUACUGAAACUGACAUGUUUUUUAGCCUUUCUGGUUAAGUGAAAAUUACAAUGGCAAACCAAUUCACCAUUUACUAGCUUUGUGCAAUAUUAUAAUGGUAGAAGCAAAACACUAGCACAUUGUGCUUGGCUUUUAAAGAGGCUUUAACACCGUACAUUAAAUGGAAGUGUGCACAGUGUAUUGUAAAUGCCAACUCUUUGCAAAUUUACAAUACUUAAAUAUGCUCCAUUAAUAUUCUAAAGUAUUAAAAGUACAAAGAAAAAACUAAGCAGGCAUUUAUAGCAAUACUCUGAAAUCUCCAAUAAUUGUUUUGACUGUUGCCUUUUGCUCCUUAGUGCAACUUUUCUGCGUUGUAAUUAUUGUAUUGCUUUGUAUUUUCAUGUUUUUUACACUCAUGACUUCAGAGUUAAGUACUUGUACAGCAAGUAUUGCAAUCACUUUCUCUUCUUGUACAUGCAGUGUAACAACAUACAGUUUUGGUGCUUAACAAUAUUCCUUUUUUUCUUUAAUAAAAGGUAUUUAUUGAGUUAACUUCAUUUUGUUUGUUUAAAAUAGCACUGGUAGAUAUUGUCACUUCAUUUCAAAUAGAAGGAGCACAGCAAGUUGUGAAUUUGCUGUGACAUUAUGAACAGGCUUUGGAGACUCUCUACCCUUGUACUUCUGCCUCUUCCUGACUACUAUUUAUAAUGAAGUAUUUUAACAGUUGCCGAAUUUAUGCUAAUAAAAGCCUUACUCAUGUUGUUUGUGUAGCUAUCCACAUAGUUUGGCGAUGUUGACUUCCAGAAUUUGGAAGAUCUUUAAAUGCCUUUCAUUUUAGCAAGCCAUCAUCUGUGACUAUUUAAAUUUGAGAUUAUUGGCUUUACACUUAAACAUAGGACCAGCUUAACCGGAACCCAGCAGCUCCCCUUAUCUGAUGCUGACUUGAUACAGCCCCCAUCAUACAAGAGGCACACGUUUAAGGGCGGGUCCCUGGUGCUGCUCAGUCCCCAGUGGCAAACAGAGAAGUCUCAUACACUACAAGAAAACGGAACCUCCUUUGAGACUGAAGAAGACAAGGAUUCCCUCUGUCACAACUUCCUUUUGCUACUGUAUCAGAGGUACUAACAUUGCAGUUAGGCAGGAAAAAGAAAAGAUGAAGGAUGGAAAGAGAAAAAAAUGACAUUGUUUGGCAGGUAUUACAGUUAUGUAUGUAGAAAACCCAAAAAUAUCCAUUGAAUUAAAACAGCUUUCGUAAGAAGUGCUUGAUGACAUUCGGUAUUUUAGUAUCAACAGAAUUUCUAUAUACUAGUAUGAAACAGCUAAAAAUUAAGCCUAUAAAAACUAUCGUUUAAAAACUUGAGAAGUCAAGGAAAAGAAGACAAUGCAGUAGAAAACUGGGCAUGAGACCUGAGUAGGCAGUUAAUUCACAGAAGAGAUUCAAAUGGUUGAUGUGGUCUACCUCAAUAGCAAUAAGGAGAACACUACACCAAAAUAAGAUACCAGUGCACCCUCAAGAAUGGUUACAAUUUGAAAGACUGACAGUUUCCAGUGUUCACAAAAAUACAGAAAAGAACUUUCAGAAACUACUAGUAGUGGUAUACCAGUUGUACAACUAUUUUGGAAGCUUGCUAAGCGUCAUCUACAAAAGUUGGGUCUGUGCUCACCCUGUGACACUCGGCUAAAAUAUGCACACUUCAGUCCAGAGACCUACACAAGAAUGCUUAGAGCAGCAUUCUCCAUCAUAGCCAACAACCAGAAUAACCCAAAUGUCCAUCUAUGGAUGAAUGGACAAACUGUGGUAUAUUCCUAAAAUGUGGUAAAGUGCAGGAGAACAGUAACAGUGAAUACAGCUCUACAGACCAGUCUGCAUGAAUCUCACUGACAAAGCUGAGCAACAGAGGCCAAAAAGAAUAUGUGAUUCCAGUCAUAUUAAGUUAAAAAACAGGCAAAACUAAACCAUAGUGUUUAGGAUAUUUAGGUAAUAGAACUAAAAAAAAAAUAAGCAAAGUGAUGAUUGCCAUAAAAAUGAUGAUAAUGGUAAUGUUUGUGUUCCUUGGGGCUGUGAAGCUUCUGUUUCUUGACAAGGGUGUGGUUAGGCGGGGCUCUCUUUACAAUAAUUCAGUGAGCUAUACAUUUAUAUUUAUGUAUUUUUCUAAGUAUUACAUUUAACCAUAAAAAAAGAUUUUUUAAAAAUGCUAAUAUAGAGUUCUUUUAUUAGAAUUCUAGAAAUUGCUUCUAGAAUUCAGUUGCCAAAAACUUUUCUCUGCAAAGUAAUUUGCAUGCUUGCUCUACAAAACAAUGAGAACAAUAUAAUCUAACAUUUCAAUUUUUUUCAUUAGUUGCCAGGAAAUCAGAGCAAAUUUAGUGCUCCAAUGGAAGAAAAAACUGAUCUCAAACUUCUGGUCUACACUGUACUUUGCUCCUUUUAAUUUGCUGUGUGUGUCUGUGUAUGUGUGAAACUCUCCUUGGUGUUUUAAUACUGUGAGUUUCCUUUGAGGAAGUAGAUGGGAAGAGCUUUAAAAUGUUCAUUAAAUAAAAAGAUGUUGCAACAAAGCAUGGCAUAGUGGUUAACUGCAAGGAGUCUAGACAUCUGGUAGAGCUGUGUGAAUUUGGACAGAUUACUUCUCUGUGCUUCAGUUUAUUCAGUCUGUAAAAUGGAGACAAUGUCUACUUCAUAUGGUUGUUACAUGGAUUAAAUAGAAGAGUGCCUGGCACAUAUGUACAUGUUAGCUAUUAUUAUUCUCCCGAAAUAUGUUGCCAAAAUUUCUCAGAAAGAACCACAAAGAUUUGAGUCAUUUAGAAGCAAGAACAUCUGAGAUUAGAAUAGAUUGCUCCUGGACAAUCUAAAAAGCAGCAAUGAUCAUAUUUAUUUCCUUCAUUAAUAGAACAUAAUUUCAUUCACAUGUCAAAAUGAAUAUGCAAUAGGCAACAUUUUAUAUUAACAAUGAAAAAAAACCUUACCUUCAUGUUUACUUUUUGUAGAGAGAAUUGGUGCAACUGAAAAAAUGCAGAAUUUCUAUUUUCUGACGUUCUGCAGAAAUGCAAUCCUGAAGAAUCAAAAUAUCCAAAAAUAUAAAGAAUGCCAACAAAGACCUUUCAGUUAAAUACGGUGGUUUGAAACAUACUUUUAUUGCCAAAUCCUCCUAAAUCCCUAACAUGGCAGUAAAGGAAUAAGAAACAAAAGAAAAUUAUGGACAAAAAAUGUCAGUGACUGCAGGAUACACAGGAAGUAAUGAUUUAACAGUGGAGGGAGCUGACCUAAGAGUCUGCAGUGAGUACUGACAAGUGUGCCAAGGGCUGAGGGGCCUGGCACUUGGAGGUACUGUGUUCCCUGCAAGGUGGGGAUGAGGUAUAAGGGUGCAAAGGAGAGUGGUGAAAAGUCUCCCAACAGAAACAACAGAUCCCCCACCUCCCUGGCCCUUCCUUUCCCAUUCCAAGACACUAGAGGUUUAUUCUCUGGAAUAAACAAGCCAGAGAAGAUCUGGACACUAAAAGCAGGUACAAGAGGAAGGCAGGGGGCAUGGUGAACCCUGUAGGGUUAAGUUACAAUCUAUCUUCGAAACCCAGAGGCCCCUGGCUGCUUUCUCCUUCUUGGUUCUGAGAUGGGCCUUGGCUGGUCAUCUACACCUCCCAGAGGAGUCUGAAAGAUCCCUCUCUGGAGAAACUAAAUGGCCGCAGAGAAAAGACCAUCCCACGUUGAUAUUUGUAUGUGGGGAGGGAUGGAGAGUUACCAAAUGACAAAGCAGGCCUCCCACCCAAUCAACAUACCCGCAAAGCCACCAGCCAGCCAGGCUUCCUCCCUCCCUUACCCCAGAGCCUCCAGGGUUUCACUGUAGGAUGUGAACAGACUGCUUAGAAUCACAAUGAAGUCUCCACACAAUGAAGAAAGACCAAAAAACAAACUAAAGAAGGUAAUUCUUGGAAAAGAGACAAGAGACUAGGAGGGAAAAAUUACUUCUAUCAGAAAAAAGAAGGUGAAAUACUGUAUCUAUAAAACAAGAAUGUAUCACAAUAAAAAGGAAUAUUCUGAGAACAGUGAAUGACACUUAGACCCAAAAACCAUGACAGCUGACACUACAAAUUCAAUGCAUGGUUUAAAAGAUAGAGGCCAGGAACUCUGAGUCAAAUAAACGGCUAAGGAGAUGAACAAUAGAAAAUAUAAUUAGAGGAUUAAUUCAGCUAAUCCAAUAUCUGAUUGAUGCUGGGAGUAGAAAGAAGUGGAGAGGAGCAAAUUAUUAAAAAAAAAAAUACAAGAAACUUACUCCUUUGUUUACUACGGUUUGAGCUGGGUUUUCUUUCAUGUACAAGAGAAGGAUUGGUCCUGUGAGGAGAGUGCCAGCCAGAUGAGGACUCAGAAACGCUCCCAGCAUGGGUGACAUGGAGGUUACUGGUUAGCUUGGAGAGCGCAAUUCUGGUGGAGCAGGCAGGGCUUCAUCUGAAGAGCAAACAGAAAGUUAGGAAGUGGAGCUAAUUUGUGAGUACACAAUUUUUUCAGAGUUUUUUGGUGAAAAAGAAAUAGCUCUGAGGAUUAAAGGUGAACUUGUUUGUUUUUGCUUUUUUAAAGAUUUUAUUUAUUUGACAGAGAGAGACACAGCGAGAGAGGGAACACAAGCAGGGGGAGUGGG